rnacentral:rRNA from 1 species
AUUGAACGCUGGCGGCAGGCCUAACACAUGCAAGUCGAACGAGUGGCGGACGGGUGAGUAAUGUCUGGGAAACUGCCUGAUGGAGGGGGAUAACUACUGGCAACGGUAGCUAAUACCGCAUACCAUCAGAUGUACCCAUAUGGGAUUAGCUUGUAGGUGGGGUAACGGCUCACCUAGGCGACGAUCCCUAGCUGGUCUGAGAGGAUGACCAGCCACACUGGAACUGAGAAACGGGCCAGACUCCUACGGGAGGCAGCAGUGGGGAAUAUUGCACAAUGGGCGCAAGCCUGAUGCAGCCAUGCCGCGUGUAUGAAGAAGGCCUUCGGGUUGUAAAGUACUUUCAGCGGGGAGGCGUUACCGACAGAAGAAGCACCGGCUAACUCCGUGCCAGCAGCCGCGGUAAUUC